rnacentral:rRNA from 1 species
CACGUAGGGGACGAGCGUUGUCCGGAUUCAUUGGGCGUAAAGAGCGUGUAGGCGGCCCGGUAAGUCCGCUGUGAAAGUCGGGGGCUCAACCCUCGAAUGCCGGUGGAUACUGUCGGGCUAGAGUGCGGAAGAGGCGAGUGGAAUUCCUGGUGUAGCGGUGAAAUGCGCAGAUAUCAGGAGGAACACCGAUUGCGAAGGCAGCUCGCUGGGACGUCACUGACGCUGAGACGCGAAAGCGUGGGGAGCAAACAGG